rnacentral:rRNA from 1 species
AACGAACGCUGGCGGCAUGCCUAACACAUGCAAGUCGAACGGGAUCCUGGCUUCGGUCAGGUGAGAGUGGCGGACGGGUGAGUAACGCGUGGGAACCUGCCCAGUGGUGGGGGAUAACUGCGGGAAACUGCAGCUAAUACCGCAUGAGCCCGAGAGGGGAAAGAUUUAUCGCCAUUGGAGGGGCCCGCGUUCGAUUAGGUAGUUGGUGAGGUAACGGCUCACCACGGCUACGAUCUAUAGCUGAUCUGAGAGGAUGAUCAGCCACACUGGGACUGAGACACGGCCCAGACUCCUACGGGAGGCAGCAGUGGGGAAUCUUGCGCAAUGGGCGAAAGCCUGACGCAGCCAUGCCGCGUGAAUGAUGAAGGUCUUAGGAUUGUAAAAUUCUUUUACCAGGGACGAUAAUGACGGUACCUGGAGAAAAAGCCCCGGCUAACUUCGUGCCAGCCGCCGCGGUAAAAC